UUCAAGGGGAGGGACAUGGACUCUACCUCUUGACACAAGAUUAAGAUGUAGAAAAGCACAUGAGAGAGAAGAAUCAUUGCUGCUUUCUUUGAAAAAUGCAAUCUGACACUUCCCAGAACACCCACGCUUGCGAUGAUCCCUCCCAGAACCUUGCCACCAUGCUAUGCUGUGAGACAUCCAAGCCACAUGCAGACACUCUGGUUGACAGCCAGCCCAGACUGCCAACCAUGUGAGGGAGUCAGCUUGGAUCUCCAGUCCAUUCCAGCCUCCUGGUGCCUGCAGCCCUAGCCACCAUCUGAGUGCAACUACAGUAGGAGCAGCCCCAUGUGAGAACCACUCAACUGAGCCCAUUCAACAAAAACAUGAGACAGGAUAAAUUGUUGUUUUAAGCCACUGAACUUUGGGGACAUUUUUUAUGUAGCAAUAGACAACCAGAUGCCCUCUACCAAUUAGCCAUAGGUAUGAACCAAGACAACGCUUGGCCAAUAAGUGAGUGACUAUGUCCCUAUGAAAGAACAAUUAGAAGUUUCUCUUCAUUGAGCAUCUGUUUUCCCCUCAAUGAAACACAGAGGUGGGACUAGAUCAAAAGUCAUAACCUAGAAGUCAUUAUGAGUAGUCAUUGGUAAGAGAAUUCUAAAACCCUAGGGGAAAGUACACACUUACAUGUGAUGAGGCCACACUGGCUAACAAAAAACCAAGCUUCCUUGUUUGAAGCUAUAGUUAUACAACUUAGUAUGUCAACACUGUUUCCUUCUGCUAGUCAGAAACUGCUUAGCAGUCAUAUAUGGCUUUCAUAGCUAAAAAUGAAAUAAAGAAUCAAAUGCUGCUUAAUUCAA